rnacentral:rRNA from 1 species
GGACUACACGGGUAUCUAAUCCUGUUUGCUCCCCUAGCUUUCGCAGUUGAGUGUCAGUAAUGGUCCAGGCACCUGCUUUCGCCAUCGGUGUUCCUCCCGAUCUCUGCGCAUUUCACCGCUACACCGGGAAUUCCAGUACCCUCUCCCAUACUCAAGCCCGAAAGUUUCUGUUGGCCUCUCCUAGUUAAGCCAGGAGCUUUCACAACAGACUUAUCAAGCCACCUACCUGCCCUUUACGCCUAGUAAUUCCGAGUAACGCUUGCCACCUUCGUAUUACCGCGGCUGCUGGCAC